rnacentral:rRNA from 1 species
UGGGGAAUCUUAGACAAUGGGGGAAACCCUGAUCUAGCCAUGCCGCGUGAGUGAUGAAGGCCCUAGGGUCGUAAAGCUCUUUCGCCAGGGAUGAUAAUGACAGUACCUGGUAAAGAAACCCCGGCUAACUCCGUGCCAGCAGCCGCGGUAAUACGGAGGGGGUUAGCGUUGUUCGGAAUUACUGGGCGUAAAGCGCGCGUAGGCGGACUAUUAAGUCAGGGGUGAAAUCCCGGGGCUCAACCCCGGAACUGCCUUUGAUACUGGUAGUCUAGAGUUCGAGAGAGGUGAGUGGAACUCCGAGUGUAGAGGUGAAAUUCGUAGAUAUUCGGAAGAACACCAGUGGCGAAGGCGGCUCACUGGCUCGAUACUGACGCUGAGGUGCGAAAGUGUGGGGAGCAAACAGGAUUAGAUACCCCCGUAGUCC